AUUGAACGCUGGCGGCAGGCCUAACACAUGCAAGUCGAGCGAGCGGCGGACGGGUGAGUAAUGUAUGGGGACUGCCCGAUAGAGGGGGAUAACUACUGGAAACGGUGGCUAAUACCGCAUACUAUCGGAUAACCCAUAUGGGAUUAGCUAGUAGGUGGGGUAAAGGCUCACCUAGGCGACGAUCUCUAGCUGGUCUGAGAGGAUGAUCAGCCCCCCUGGGACUGAGACGCGGCCCAGACUCCUACGGAGGCAGCAGUAGGGAAUAUUGGACAAUGGACGAAAGCCUGAUGGAGCAACGCCGGGUGAAUGAAGAAGGUCUUCGGAUUGUAAAGCUCUGUUAUUGGGGAAGCGUUAUCUAAACAGGAAGCCACGGCUAACUACGUGCCAGCAGCCGCGGUAAUAC
rnacentral:rRNA from 1 species